CGAGCGAAUUGUAGUUUAAAGAAGUGUUUUCGGAGGCGACGCUGAUAUANUUUCUUUGGAACAAGGAAUCACAGAGGGUGAGAAUCNCGUGAUAUCAGUUUAGCUUCUAUGUGAUACACUUUCAAAGAGUCGGGUUGUUUGGGAAUGCAGCCCAAAAUGGGUGGUAAAUACCAUCUAAAGCUAAAUAUUGGCAAGAGACCGAUAGCGAACAAGUACCGUGAGGGAAAGAUGAAAAGAACUUUGAAAAGAGAGUUAAAUAGUACGUGAAAUUGCCAAAAGGGAAACGCUUGAAACCAGUUUUGUUGGUAGAAUCCCAACUGGUCUAACGACCAGCAUAUGUUUCUACUAACAGGUCAACAUCGGUUUUGAUCGAAGUACAAAGCUUGAGGAAUGUGGCCCUUCUGGGUGUUAUAGCCUCAAGUCAUGCUUUGGUUGGGACCGAGGAAAGCAGUGCAGUCUUGGGGACCCGUUCGCUAGUUGACGUCUUGGCUUAAACAACUUGUUGAUUAGGUUAAGGAUUAGGCUAAUCGGGCGGUUUACCACACCUGUGCUUAGGAUGUUGACAAAAUGGUUUUAAACGACC
rnacentral:rRNA from 1 species